CCCUACGGGGGGCAGCAGUGGGGGAUAUUGCACAAUGGGGGGAACCCUGAUGCAGCGACGCCGCGUGGGUGAAGAAGCGCCUCGGCGCGUAAAGCCCUGUCAGCAGGGAAGAAAAUGACGGUACCUGAAGAAGAAGCCCCGGCUAACUACGUGCCAGCAGCCGCGGUAAUACGUAGGGGGCAAGCGUUAUCCGGAUUUACUGGGUGUAAAGGGGGCGCAGACGGCGAUGCAAGCCAGGAGUGAAAGCCCGGGGCCCAACCCCGGGACUGCUCUUGGAACUGCGUGGCUGGCGUGCAGGAGGGGCA
rnacentral:rRNA from 1 species